rnacentral:lncRNA from 1 species
UUGAUGGAUUUGACAAUCACUUAAUUCUACUAGAGCCUGACCUUCAGUCUGGAAGUCAGAUAUACGCAGCAGAGACGUAGAUGAUAGCCGCAGGCUGCUGCUGGUGGGCAGCUGACAGAGUCCAGCUUAAAGGACUGCCUUCAGUACAUCUACAUUCUUCUACCUGGGACUGUGUGUGGCCAUGCGGACAGGCUCUCACCUUCACUAAACAAUUCAACUGGUGAGGGUAAAGGGGUAGGGGGGCUUGCCUGGCAUCCCUGAGUAAGUAACAAAGUUGGAAGGAGAGUGUUAGAACACCAGUAUUGAACCUGCAUUCAUUGAAUGUAUUUCCUUCUCUUCCUCUCUCCACAGAGGGCUGCUGCUGCUGUGGUUUGUGCAUGCUCUCUGUUGAGAUGGUUAUUUGGUGCUUAUUCAGCUGGGCUAGAAUGCUGAUUUGUAAAGUGUCAAUCUUCAGAGACCCUUCAUUAACUGGAGGCAAACAGGUUUGAUGUUAGCCAGCUGCUAGGAUGGAUGUUCUGUAUCCACCCACUCGGCAAGGCUUACCUGAAUGCCUAGGCUUCGUUGAGUGUGGAGAAGAGGCAAUGUGAAUAACAACACUUAGCCCCAGAUUCACAUAGAAACAAAGCUCUGGGGCGGUGCUGACUCGUUCCAAUGAGAGGUCUGGGCUGUUCACAAAAAGUUCUCAGUGUCUGGAGCCUGAGUAGCUGAAGAAGUCAGCUCAAAAGCACACAAUCCCGAAGCACGACAGGUCUGUGGAGGAAGGGAAAGAAUAGACAGGGGCAGAAAGGCAGAGCACAUGAGGAGUUGAAGCUGGAAAGAGAGAUAUUGGAGCUUAUAGACUCUUUAGCCCUACUCAGGACAAUGUUAUGUGGACAAGGGAGAGCCACCAAAGGUCUUUGAAUGUAGAUUUGCAUGGAUUUAGAAAGUAUUUGGCAACCCUUUAAGGAAUAGAAGGAGAGAUAACACUGGCUUAGUAUGUCUCAAGGUGGACUCAAAAUGCAAUGGAUGUGAGCUAGAAGUCAAUAGUACGGAAGGGAGUGGGGACAGAGAGAUAAGAACAGUUCUCAUGGAAUAAUAAAGUGGGUAGAGGUGGAUGUCA